AAAGCAAAAGAGAAACAGCUUCUGCUUGCUGCCUCCUGGAAUCCUGCCACAUCCUUCACUUCCCAUUUGGACCUGGCUGUUGGGACCAAACUUUACAAAGGCCACCAGCCUUGCACUGAUUUCUAAGCCCCUCCAUGUGCUCAGUCUCCUCUCUUACACACAGUUCAUCAUAAUUGGGUUCUCACUGCUUUGAGCCUUGAAUGUUUCUGUUUUUGCAGUCUGCUACCAUCCAGCGCUUAAAGCGGCCAAGUUUGCUUUUCUUCCUUGGCCUUUUUAACAGCACAGACAAGUACAUCAGCAGAAUUAUCCUAAGCUUUGGAGUUCUCUGAUGGCUAUAAGAUGGAAGGAGAGACCACCAGCCCACCAGGGAGUAAAUUCAUAAAUUUGGACUCUGUUUGUACUUCUAUGAUACUAAGAAUAAUCUAUUUGCCUUAAAGGGACUUUGCUUUCUUUUAAGUCAAGAGUUCUACUAAAUAAAUGAUUAUGCAUUUAAAUUUCUGGGUGUCGCAUUCCUCAGGGAGGGGGCUAUUAGGAUAGGCAAGUUUAUGGAGCAGUUACAAAAACAGCAAAAACUUCAUGGUUCCUAGUAAUAAGUGUCUUUUUCAUGCUCAUGUUACAGGUCCAGUGCAGGCUGGCUGGGGGCUCUGUGCCACGUCUCCUCACUUCAGGGCCCAGGCUGAUGGAGCAUCCACCAUCUUUUUUUUCUUUUUAAGAUUGGCACCUGAGCUAACAUCUGUUGCCAAUCUUCUUUUAUUUCUUCAUCUCCCCAAAGCCCGCCAAUACAUAGUUGUAUAUUCUAGCUGUGGGUUCUCCUGGCUCUGCUAUGUGGGACGCCGCCUCAGCAUGGCUUGAUGAGCGGUGCCAUGUGCGCGUCCAGGAUCUAACCAGUGAAACCUUGGGCUACCGAAGUGGAGCACGUGAACUUAACCACUCGGCCACGGGGCUGGCCCCGCAUCUACCAUCUUGAAUGUUGCUGGUAGUUACCCUCAGAGGAAAAGAGGGCUCUGGCAAAUUGUGCCCUGGUUCUUAAAAUUUCCUCCUGAAAGUGUGACAUGUCACUUCCAUUCACAUUUUAUUACUCAAAGGAAGUCACAUGGCCACAACUAACUUCAAGGGGUCAGGGAAGGAUAAUUGUAGCAAGUGCCUGAAAGUGGAGAGAACCAGAAAUAUUUGGGGGGAAAAUGGAUCAAGCCAUCACCAGCAAUCUCCCAAAGCCCACAGUUGUGUCCAGAGAGAAUAAUAGCUG
rnacentral:lncRNA from 1 species